UGUUACAAAAUAUGAUGAGAGCCCUGGAAAUAGCAAAGGCAAUACAAAGUACUCACACUAGGGUUCCAGCAGCCAGAGGACUUUCCCUGUGUAUCCUAUAGGGCAACUAAUAAAUAACUCACCCAAGUUCUUAAAGUGAGAAAUAAGGUCAAAGAAUAUGCAGGACCAAAAUAUCCCUUAUAUUAACAGACAAAGUCUGGGUUACCUCUAUAGUCUGUAUCUGAAAGCCAAUGGUCUUCCUAUUUCUGAACACUGGCAUCAAGCACACCAAUCCAUUCCAUCAGAGCAGGAUGGGAAUGUGCCCUGCAGACAGUCAGCUGCCCCUACCCCCACCACCCGAGGGUAAAAGAAAGAAAUAUUUUAGUCUUAGCUUCCUCUAACUGCCUUCAGACCAUCCAGAAACCCCCUGGUGAACAUCUUUAAAAAUAAAACACUGUACACACUUGAAUUUAAAUCAAGAAGAAGAGAAGAAGGAGGAGAAGGAGGAAGGGGAGGAGGAGGAGGAGUUGUUACUUUCCCCAGGUGAAUUUUGCAUCCAUCUCAGCCCUUUACACCGUAUCCCAGGUCUCAGUCCCCAUGGCUCCCUGUGGAGGGGAGAAUUCUGAGGGGCAACCAUGGACAGCUCCUUCUCCUGCCUCUAUGAGCUCACUAGGGUCACCAUCCAUUCACCAGCCAUGUUCAGCUCAACUUCAGAACUCUCUCUCAGGUCCUAGAUAUGGCUGGUCAGAAUUAACAUUCGUGGUACCAAGCUGUCAAGGGGUAAACUCCUGACUCACUAGCAGCAGCCCUGUUUCUGCUGAGCAAACCAGAGAUUUCAGGGAGGUGUGGAGCUUGCAGAGGAGGUGCGUUGGCCAUAGAAGAACUAUCAUCACAUAUUGGAAAGUGAUUUGCAACAUAAACAGUCUUCUACAGAACCAUGCCAUCACCCUGAAAGAUAAUGCCAACCACUUGGUUCUGUAACUAAGUCUUCAAAGGCCAUAUCACCAUUCUUUCAAACCAGUUGCUACAAGAUGGUGGGGAACAUGGCAAGACCAGUAAAUUCCACGAGGAACCAACCCAGCAAGAGAGGAAAAACGGGUGAAGUCCACAGCAUGGAAUGACAGAACAGUUAGGAAACGGAAUUUUAUUUGCUCUUCUGCUGGGAAAGCUAAUUACUUGUCCAUUUGAG